GAUGAACGCUAGCUACAGGCUUAACACAUGCAAGUCGAGGGGCAGCGGGAUUGAAGCUUGCUUCAAUUGCCGGCGACCGGCGCACGGGUGAGUAACGCGUAUCCAACCUUCCGUACACUCAGGGAUAGCCUUUCGAAAGAAAGAUUAAUACCUGAUGGUAUGAUGAGAUUGCAUGAUAUCAUCAUUAAAGAUUUAUCGGUGUACGAUGGGGAUGCGUUCCAUUAGGUAGUAGGCGGGGUAACGGCCCACCUAGCCAACGAUGGAUAGGGGUUCUGAGAGGAAGGUCCCCCACAUUGGAACUGAGACACGGUCCAAACUCCUACGGGAGGCAGCAGUGAGGAAUAUUGGUCAAUGGACGAGAGUCUGAACCAGCCAAGUAGCGUGAAGGAUGAAGGUCCUACGGAUUGUAAACUUCUUUUAGAAGGGAAUAAACCCUCCCACGUGUGGGAGCUUGUAUGUACCUUAUGAAUAAGCAUCGGCUAACUCCGUG
rnacentral:rRNA from 1 species